rnacentral:rRNA from 1 species
AAUAUUGCACAAUGGGGGAAACCCUGAUGCAGCGACGCCGCGUGAAGGAAGAAGUAUUUCGGUAUGUAAACUUCUAUCAGCAGGGAAGAAAAUGACGGUACCUGACUAAGAAGCCCCGGCUAACUACGUGCCAGCAGCCGCGGUAAUACGUAGGGGGCAAGCGUUAUCCGGAUUUACUGGGUGUAAAGGGAGCGUAGACGGAGCUGCAAGUCUGAUGUGAAAGCCCGGGGCUCAACCCCGGGACUGCAUUGGAAACUGUAGAUCUAGAGUGCCGGAGAGGUAAGCGGAAUUCCUAGUGUAGCGGUGAAAUGCGUAGAUAUUAGGAGGAACACCAGUGGCGAAGGCGGCUUACUGGACGGUGACUGACGUUGAGGCUCGAAAGCGUGGGGAGCAAACA